rnacentral:rRNA from 1 species
UGCGUAGGCGGCUAUUUAAGUUCAUGGUUAAAGUUCGGGGCUCAACCCCGUGAUGCCAUGGAAACUGGGUAGCUCGAGUACAGGAGAGGUGAGUGGAAUUCCAUGUGUAGCGGUAAAAUGCGUAGAUAUAUGGAGGAACACCAGUGGCGAAGGCGGCUCACUGGCCUGUAACUGACGCUGAGGCACGAAAGCGUGGGGAGCAAAUA